rnacentral:tRNA from 1 species
GCAUGGUUUAGUGGUAAAGCAUCUGCUUGGCAUGCAGAAGUUCUCAAGUUCAGUCCCUGGCAACUGAAGUU